GCAUCAAUGGGGUAGUGGUAACCUGGGUCGUUGCCAUAUGAAUACUGUGCAUUCACAGAUUCGACCCGCCGGGGGUUCGAUUCCCUCUUGAUGCA